UACGUAGGGUGCAAGCAUUGUCCGGAUUUAUUGGGCGUAAAGAGCUCGUAGGCGGCUUGUCACGUCGGGUGUGAAAACUCGGGGCUCAACCCCGAGCCUGCACUCGAUACGGGCUAGCUAGAGUGUUGCAGGGGAGACUGGAAUUCCUGGUGUAGCGGUGAAAUGCGCAGAUAUCAGGAGGAACACCGGUGGCGAAGGCGGGUCUCUGGGCAACUACUGACGCUGAGGAGCGAAAGCGUGGGGAGCGAACAGG
rnacentral:rRNA from 1 species